rnacentral:rRNA from 1 species
GCCAGAAGCCAUAUCACCCUGCAAUUCACAGCUGGCAGCCCCAAUGAAGCUCAGCAGUACCGAGCCUGGUCAGUACCUGGAUGGGAGACCUCCUGGGAAAAACUAAGGUUGCUGCUGGAA